CCUACGGGAGGCAGCAGUGAGGAAUAUUGGUCAAUGGACGGAAGUCUGAACCAGCCAUGCCGCGUGAAGGAUGACGGCCCUAUGAGUUGUAAACUGCUUUUGUAUGGGAAUAAAAGUUCUUACGUGUAGGGAUUUGAAUGUACCGUAUGAAUAAGGAUCGGCUAACUCCGUGCCAGCAGCCGCGGUAAUACGGAGGAUUCGAGCGUUAUCCGGAUUUAUUGGGUUUAAAGGGUGCGUAGGCUGAUGGAUAAGUCAGAUGUGAAAGGUCGGGGCUUAACCCCGUGACUGCCUUUGAUACUGUUCGACUAGAGAGCAGAUGAGGCAGGCGGAAUGAGUGGUGUAGCGGUGAAAUGCUUAGAUAUUACGCAGAACACCGAUUGCGAAGGCAGCUUACUAGUCCGCAACUGACGCUGAUGCACGAAAGCGUGGGUAGCAAACAGGAUUAGAUACCCCAGUAGUC
rnacentral:rRNA from 1 species